rnacentral:rRNA from 1 species
AGCUUAGGUUGCAAAGCUCUUUUACCCGGGAAGAUAAUGACGGUACCGGGAGAAUAAGCCCCGGCUAACUUCGUGCCAGCAGCCGCGGUAAUACGAAGGGGGCUAGCGUUGUUCGGAUUUACUGGGCGUAAAGCGCACGUAGGCGGAUCUUUAAGUCAGAGGUGAAAUCCCAGGGCUCAACCCUGGAACUGCCUUUGAUACUGGGGAUCUCGAGUCCGGGAGAGGUGAGUAGAACUGCGAGUGUAGAGGUGAAAUUCGUAGAUAUUCGCAAGAACACCAGUGGCGAAGGCGGCUCACUGGCCCGGANC